AGACACGGCCCAGACUCCUACGGGAGGCAGCAGUAGGGAAUCUUCCACAAUGGGCGAAAGCCUGAUGGAGCAACGCCGCGUGAGUGAAGAAGGUUUUCGGAUCGUAAAACUCUGUUGUAAGGGAAGAACAAGUACAGUAGUAACUGGCUGUACCUUGACGGUACCUUAUUAGAAAGCCACGGCUAACUACGUGCCAGCAGCCGCGGUAAUACGUAGGUGGCAAGCGUUGUCCGGAAUUAUUGGGCGUAAAGCGCGCGCAGGUGGUCCUUUAAGUCUGAUGUGAAAGCCCACGGCUCAACCGUGGAGGGUCAUUGGAAACUGGGGGACUUGAGUGCAGAAGAGGAAAGUGGAAUUCCAAGUGUAGCGGUGAAAUGCGUAGAGAUUUGGAGGAACACCAGUGGCGAAGGCGACUUUCUGGUCUGUAACUGACACUGAGGCGCGAAAGCGUGGGGAGCAAACAGGAUUAGAUACCCUGGUAGUCCACGCCGUAAGC
rnacentral:rRNA from 1 species